AGCGAACGCUGGCGGCAGGCCUAACACAUGCAAGUCGAACGAACUCUUCGUAGUUACUGGCGGCCGGGUGAGCAACCCGUGGGAACGCGCCUUUAGGAUCGGCAUAAUUCAGGGAAAUUUGUGCUAAUACCGAAUGUGCCCUUCGGGGGAAAGAUUGAUCGCCUUUAGAGGGGCCCGCGUCUGAUUAGCUAGUUGGUGAGGUAAAGGGGCAUCAAGGCGACGAUCAGUAGAUGGGCUGAGAGGAGGAUCCGCCACAUUGAGACUGAGACACGGCCCAAACGCCUACGGGAGGGAGAAGAGGGGAAAAUUGGCGCAAGGGUGAAGGACUGACGCCGCCAUGGCGCGGGAAUCAUGAAGGUUUUAAGAUUGUAAAAGUCUUUCACCGGGGACGGUAAUGACGGUACCCGGAGAAGAAGCCCCGGCUAACUUCGUG
rnacentral:rRNA from 1 species